UUAACGCGACCGUCUUGUUCGAGCCCAUGCACCGAGAACGUAAUUGUGUGAGGAUAUUGUUGCGGAGUGACGAGUGUAAUUGUAUCAUAGUUUAUGGAGAAAAACAAUUUAAAAGGGACGUUCAACGCGCUGUCAAAUCAGUCAUAUUUAAACUUGCGCAAUGACGUUGGCAUGUGGUCGCGGAGGAAAACGAUCAAAGAUAAAUUAAGGUCCUCACAUGGCGCGAAACCAACUUUUUCCAUGUCAAACUUGGACAGCGGCUGUCCAUGACACACAUGACAACAUCAUCUUCUAGUGGCGUGGAGCUCCACUCCACAGAAAAUACUGUAAUAAAGGAACUGGAAGAAGAGCCCUUUCGCUUUGUGGCCUUUAAAAUCAAAGAGACCACCCUCUUCGACUUGCAACCAGAGAUGCUGGCGUGGCUCCACGACACCAAGUUGGAACACUGACGUUACACGUGAGAGACACAGAGAGAGAGAGAGAGAGAGGCAAGUCGCCGAUUUAGGUGACCCAGUUUAUUAUUUUGUUUAUAGCAAAUACAGUUGCAAAUAUAUUGUUUCAAUGUGUAGUUAAUGGUAUUAAUGUAUAGUAUAUGAUUUUAAUCUAUUUUAAUCUAUAGUAAUGGUAUUUUACCCAUGCCUUAUUUUGGGAUAUUUGUAACUUCUGCUGUCUUUAUCUUAGUAUUCUGGAAUACUAUGGUUUAUUUCGAAAAUGUUUCUCAGAUGUCGCAUGUUUUCCCAUUCUAGAUUGAUAGAUAGAAUUUACGGUAGCGUUCUUUGGCCUGCUGUCCAAAGAACAUAGAAAACAAUACGGAAUGCGAUCAUCUCAUGUGCGGUGGCACCACAAAGUAGAUUGCAGAAGUUAACUCAGCAGCAUGGACGCGUUCCAGGCAGUUACUGCGACCGCAAGGGGGUAAGUAUUACUAAAAAAAGCACACAAGUUUCAAACUUGCCGAGUGGACAGUGAAUCAGAAAAUAGAUUUGUCAAAAAGUGUGAGGAAAAUAUGCACUGUCUGCCGACUCACAUUUUCCAUAGUCCAUGUGGAACUGACUCACCUUAAGCAACACGGUGGACACGAACGAAAAAACGCACAACUAAGCAAGGGGGAACCUGGACAGAUCCAUCAGGCAACGACAAAGAUGAUUAUCCAGACAUCCCCAACGUCAAAGCAGCAGUAUCUUUGGCCUCAGCAUCCUUAUUUUCCACUGGGCUUUGUGGACAGGAAUGUCUUUUUCGAAAUGUUCCAUCCAACUUUAAACUGUUCAUCUCAUGCCUAAUAACUGUCGCUCAGCACUGACACCUGGUGGACGUUAUGUUGUCAUGCAAAUGUUGUUAUGCCUAAUAAGAACAGAUUCAGAUUUGAUUCUUAGUAGUUAUCUUGCUGACUGUUUCUUGUUGACUAAUACUUCUUGCGUAUGUACUGUUUUUACUCGCUUAUUGGUUUUCUUGCUUACUGCUUUUUCUAAAAUGUACAUAUUCACCUGCAGUUUCUAAAUGUUUUUAACCUAUUUGUAUUGUCCCAACAUCAACAGGUUCAGCUCAAUCCCACUUCAUGUCUACAUCAUUCAGUGUCAUUUAACAGCGUUUUUCCUUUCUAACUUAUUCAUUUUGCCACCAAUUCAACCCGUUUCAACAUUUAGCUCAUGCAUCUUAUGCCUAACUAUUCCACAACUUCUCACUUACCAAUAAUUCGAAAUUCUCUAAAACUUCGUUUUUCUACUCUAAAUUCUACAAUUUUCAACCGAUUCUACCUAUUCCAACUUUCAACUGUUCAUCUUUUGCCUACCUAUUCCACAACU